GUUUCCCUGCUGGAGUCAAUGGGGAUCAAUUUUCCAGCCUCUAGAAACAUCCUCUACAAAUCUCUGAACGUAUUUUGCAGAAAAAUACUCUCCAGCCUGAUUCAAUCAGCCUGCUUCCAAAGUUUAUCAUCUGUCUUGACACCUGAAGUUACUCUUGUUCAUAGACUGAGCUGUUCUGGCUGGCCCACUGCCUGGAGAACAUUCUCUGGAGAGGUUCUCCCACCUGGGAGGGCUGGAAGGAAUGAGCAGUGGAUCUAGAUGGAGCCACAUAAACAAGUCCAGCUGGACGCAGCAAAUCACACACCCAGGAAAGUCGGCAUGAGGCAUCAGUGACCAGGACUCUUGAUACUGAAGAGUGGGGCUCCAUCAGCACCUCAAAGAGUGAGGAAAUUCAGCCCUCGAAAGUAUAAGUGACUUGCCCAAGGUGAAACAAGCAGUGACUGGCGUGCCCACGUUUUGACUCCAGAGUGAACACUUCUCUUCUCUGUUCUGGCUGCCUCAAGGCAGAUACUGAUCAAGUGCUCGUCUAGAAUGACCUUAAAAGCUGGGAUGGCAAAGCCAGAUAAGGC
rnacentral:lncRNA from 1 species